rnacentral:misc_RNA from 1 species
UAUAAACGGCGAGUUGGUAGCUGCUGUGGUUCAGUUUAGUGGUGAAGCACCACUCUGCAGCAGGCAAAACUUGCGAGAUGAAAAUCCAGGUUUUAACGGCCCUGGUGGCGUUGGCCGCGUUGGCUCGGUGCUCUGAUGAGUCAAUUAAGGAAACAUCGGAGGCUGAAAAAAGGUCCGUAAAGUCGGAAGAGAGCGCCGCGGAGGGUUCGGGGAGUGAUAAAAAGACGGAGAAACGCGGUCUGCACGGUAGCUACGGAAGCUACGGAGGCGGCGGCUACGGCGACUUCGGGGGCGGUGGCGGCGGCGGUGGAGGUGGCGGUUACUUGCCGGGAGGGAACGGCUACGACCACCAGGAGCACGUCAAGACGAUAACGGUGGUGAAGAAGGUACACGUGCCCUACGAGGUGGCGAAGCACGUGCCCUACACGGUGGAGAAGCACGUACCGUACGAGGUGAAGGUCGGAGUGCCGCAGCCCUACACCGUCGAGAAGCACGUACCGUACCCGGUGAAGGUGUUCGUCAAGGUGCCGGUUCACGUGCCGCAGCCCUACACGGUAGAGAAGAAGAUCCCCUACGAGGUCAAGGUCCCCGUCGACAAACCCUACGAGGUCAAGGUCUACGUCCCGCAGCCCUACACCGUCGAGAAGCACGUCCCCGUGCCCGUUAAGGUCGGCGUUCCCCAGCCGUACACCGUUGAGAAGCGAGUUCCCUACCCGGUAAAGGUCAAGAUCCCGGUACCGCAGCCCUAUCCGGUCGAGAAGCCCGUGCCCUACGAAGUCAAGGUCCCGGUCGACAGGCCCUACCACGUCCACGUGCCCAAGCCCUACCCCGUGACGGUGGAGAAGCCCUAUCCGGUCGCCGUCGACAAGCCCGUGCCCUACGAGGUUAAGGUCCCCGUCGACAGGCCCUACCACGUCCACGUACCCAAGCCCUAUCCCGUCCACGUCAAGGUCCCAGUGCCUCAGCCCUACCACGUCACAAAGCACGUUCCGUACACCGUGGAGAAGCCCUAUCCCGUGCACGUCAAGGUCCCCGUCGACAGGCCCUACGUCGUUGAGAAGGAGGUGCCCUAUCCCGUCGAGAAGGAGGUCCCCGUGCCCGUCAAGGUCCCGGUUCACGUUCCCGUUCACGUGAAGCAUCAUCACGAGGAACACUCCCACGGUUCCCAAGGAUUCGGGGGCGGCGAUUACUCGGCCUCGUCUUACGGUGGCGGGCACGCCGACGGCGCCGAGGAUUACGGCAGCUACGACAGCUCUUCGUACUCCCAUCACUGAUUCGCGAAUUAUCGAAUAAUGAGAAGAUACUUCCGAGGCUACAACGUCGUGAUUUGACUUGAUCUUUAUUUUUUCUCACUAUUUUUCACACCGUCUUAUACCAUAUAUAUAUAUAUAUUUCCAAUUUUUGCCGUAUGAUUCGAUUCGUGUAACGUCUGUACUUUCGGUUAUCUUGGCGAUAUGUGAUUACUUUUUUUUUUUUUACCAUAUUUUUUUAAAAUUUUCCUCUCCCCGUGUACGUACGGCAGAUUUCUCAGAGGCAUCGCGACGAACUGAAACUAUCACGAGUACCUUAUAGUAUGUAAUAUACAUUUUAUGUAUACAUGAUAUUAUAUAGAUAAGACGAGGAUUACCUGCAUGAUAUAAGAGAAAUGCUUCUUGUCGGGAAAGAGU